rnacentral:sRNA from 1 species
GCCAGGUGUGGUGGUUUAUGCCUGUAAUCCCAGCACUUUGGGAGGCUGAGGUGGGAGGAUCGCUUGAGCUCAGGAGUUCAAGACUAGCCUGGUCAAUAUAGUGAGAACCUCCCCCCCUCUCAUUUUUAAAAAUUUAAAACGGGCUGGGUGCAGUGGCUCAUGCCUGUAAUCUCAGCACUUUGAGAGGCCGAGGUGGGCAGAUCAUUUGAGGUCAGGAGUUCAAGACCAGCCUGACCAACAUGGUGAAACCCUGUCUCU